rnacentral:misc_RNA from 1 species
UCUCCGUUGGUGAACCAGCGGAGGGAUCAUUACUGCGAUAAGAAUGCUGGCUCGCCGUCCCCCCCGGGGGGCGGUGGCCGCCUUCCAUCCAGCACACCUGUUGUCUUACCGCCUGCCGGGCCGUGUUGCCUCGGCGGGUUCUGCCUCCCAUCUCGGGAGCAGGCUCAAGCCCGCCGAUGGCCCAACUAAACUCUUGUAUUAUUUGUUAUCUGAGAGUUAUUUUUAAAAUAAGUCAAAACUUUCAACAACGGAUCUCUUGGUUCUGGCAUCGAUGAAGAACGCAGC